rnacentral:rRNA from 1 species
CCUACGGGUGGCAGCAGUGAGGAAUAUUGGUCAAUGGACGAGAGUCUGAACCAGCCAAGUAGCGUGAAAGAUGACUGCCCUAUGGGUUGUAAACUUCUUUUAUAUGGGAAUAAAACGUUCCACGUGUGGGAUUUUGUAUGUACCAUAUGAAUAAGGAUCGGCUAACUCCGUGCCAGCAGCCGCGGUAAUACGGAGGAUCCGAGCGUUAUCCGGAUUUAUUGGGUUUAAAGGGAGCGUAGGUGGAUUGUUAAGUCAGUUGUGAAAGUUUGCGGCUCAACCGUAAAAUUGCAGUUGAAACUGGCAGUCUUGAGUACAGUAGAGGUGGGCGGAAUUCGUGGUGUAGCGGUGAAAUGCUUAGAUAUCACGAAGAACUCCGAUUGCGAAGGCAGUUCACUGGACUGCAACUGACACUGAGGCUCGAAAGUGUGGGUAUCAAACAGGAUUAGAUACCCCAGUAGUC